rnacentral:rRNA from 1 species
GAAUCUUCCACAAUGGACGAAAGUCUGAUGGAGCAAUGCCGCGUGAGCGAAGAAGGUUUUCGGAUCGUAAAGCUCUGUUGUAAGGGAAGAACACGUACGGGAGUAACUGCCCGUGCCAUGACGGUACCUUAUUAGAAAGCCACGGCUAACUACGUGCCAGCAGCCGCGGUAAUACGUAGGUGGCAAGCGUUGUCCGGAAUUAUUGGGCGUAAAGCGCGCGCAGGCGGUUCUUUAAGUCUGAUGUGAAAGCCCACGGCUCAACCGUGGAGGGUCAUUGGAAACUGGAGAACUUGAGUACAGAAGAGGAAAGCGGAAUUCCACGUGUAGCGGUGAAAUGCGUAGAGAUGUGGAGGAACACCAGUGGCGAAGGCGGCUUUCUGGUCUGUAACUGACGCUGAGGCGCGAAAGCGUGGGGAGCAAACAGG